rnacentral:lncRNA from 10 species
GUUUCUCAGGCUUACUUGUACAUUAGAAUCACCUGGGGAACAUUUAAAACUCCUGACGCUGGGGCUGUGUACUUUUGACUAAUUAAGUCAGAAUCUCCAGGCAUUAGCACAUGUUAAAGCUUUCCAGGUGAUUCUAAUGUGCAGCUGAGUUUGAGAACCACCGUUGAGAGAUCAGGCAAGGCCCAAUCUCUUCACAGUGGAAGACCACCCCUCACCCAACUACCCACUUGUCAGGAUCUAACUUGGGCUAGUCAGAGGCUCCAGAGUCAAAUCCCCUCAUCUCCUGCAUGGAUUUUUAUAUGCCUGGCUGCUGGUGUUGCGAGGGUGCAGUAGGAGAAGAAGAAUGAAAUCUCUUCAUUUGGUGGCUGCUGCGUCUCCAGGCUUCCUGUCCCUGUGCCAUCAGAAAAGAAGGUGUGAGGGAGGAGUGCAGGAGGGCAAGAGAAAAAUGUCUUCCCAGAAACUCAGCGUAUGUCUCAGUGGUCAGGUUUCUUCCUCGUGUACCAAGAGUCUUUAGAAGUCAAUCCACCGUGGUCUGAUCUUCACUCCAC